rnacentral:rRNA from 1 species
AGAGUUUGAUCAUGGCUCAGGACGAACGCUGGCGGCGUGCCUAACACAUGCAAGUCGAACGGGAUCGGGGGCAACUCCGGUUCAGUGGCGGACGGGUGCGUAACACGUGAGGAACAUGACUUUCGGUGGGGGAUAGCCGGCCCAACGGCCGGGUAAUACCGCGUACGACCUCUCGGGGACAUCCCCGGUUGGUGAAAGCAGCAAUGCGCCGAAAGAGUGCCUCGCGGCCUAUCAGCUAGUUGGUGGGGUAAUGGCCCACCAAGGCGACGACGGGUAGCUGGUCUGAGAGGAUGGCCAGCCACAUUGGGACUGAGACACGGCCCAGACUCCUACGGGAGGCAGCAGUGGGGAAUAUUGCGCAAUGGGCGAAAGCCUGACGCAGCGACGCCGCGUGUGGGAUGACGGCCUUCGGGUUGUAAACCACUGUCGGGAGGGACGAAUGCGCCGCAAGGCGAGUGACGGUACCUCCAAAGGAAGCACCGGCUAACUCCGUGCCAGCAGCCGCGGUAAUACGGAGGGUGCGAGCGUUGUCCGGAAUCACUGGGCGUAAAGGGCGCGUAGGCGGCCUGGUAAGUAGGGGGUGAAAUCCUGCGGCUUAACCGCAGGGCUGCCUUCUAAACUGUCAGGCUCGAGCACAGUAGAGGCAGGUGGAAUUCCCGGUGUAGCGGUGGAAUGCGUAGAGAUCGGGAAGAACAUCAGUGGCGAAGGCGGCCUGCUGGGCUGUUGCUGACGCUGAGGCGCGACAGCGUGGGGAGCAAACAGGAUUAGAUACCCUAGUAGUCC